GUGUUCCUGGCCCGCGGCCGUCGGGUGUGAACUGCGCCAACCGCUCUGAGGGUUCGUGGCCCACCGCUCCUUCGCGGUCCCUGCCGCCACCGUCCACACUCAGCGUUGUAGAGAAGAUGGUGGGUCGGAACAGCGCCAUCGCCGCCGGUGUAUGCGGGGCCCUUUUCGUUGGGUACUGCAUCUACUUCGACCGCAAAAGACGAAGUGACCCCAACUUCAAGAACAGGCUUCGAGAACGAAGAAAGAAACAGAAGCUUGCCAAGGAGAGAGCUGGGCUUUCCAAGUUACCUGACCUUAAAGAUGCUGAAGCUGUUCAGAAGUUCUUCCUUGAAGAAAUACAGCUUGGUGAAGAGUUACUAGCUCAAGGUGAAUAUGAGAAGGGCGUAGACCAUCUGACAAAUGCAAUUGCUGUGUGUGGACAGCCACAGCAGUUACUGCAGGUCUUACAGCAAGCUCUUCCACCACCAGUGUUCCAGAUGCUUCUGACUAAGCUCCCAACAAUUAGAGAAUUGUAAGUGCUCAGAGCUUGGCUGAAGAUGAUGUGGAAUGAGAAACAAAUGUCAACAUAAUAAAAUCUCAGUUAAAAAUAUUUUAAAAAUUCUUGGUAGUUGAGCAGCUCUGGGGGAAUAAGCGCAAAUAUGCUUGUUAUGAACUACGCUGAAAAUCUACCAAAGUUAAUGUUUACUUUGUGUAGAUCCAUUUGUCUACUUUAUUUAUUUUUCCCAGUGAAAAUUGUAUUUUGAUAGAGAACUUUUCAUUCUAUAAAUACACUAUGAGUUACUAAAAUGUCAUGGAUUUUGUUUAUUCCUGAAACAUAGUUAAACUGUACAUAUGACGUGGCUUAUGUUAAAAAUACCCAGUGCUCAGUUUUGAAAGAUAGGCAAAAAAAAAAAAAAAGUAUAGGAGAAACUGAAGAAUGUACACUUUUUUAGGGGGCACAUUUUGCUGUAAAUCUGGAAAUUUGAUAAACUUGAUUGUGUUUGUGAAAACUGAGCAUUAAAGGUUUUGAUUGACCAUUUCUUUCCAUUUAA